rnacentral:rRNA from 1 species
GCGACCGGCGCACGGGUGAGUAACGCGUAUGCAACUUACCUAUCAGAGGGGGAUAGCCCGGCGAAAGUCGGAUUAAUACCCCAUAAAACAGGGGUCCCGCAUGGGAAUAUUUGUUAAAGAUUCAUCGCUGAUAGAUAGGCAUGCGUUCCAUUAGGCAGUUGGCGGGGUAACGGCCCACCAAACCGACGAUGGAUAGGGGUUCUGAGAGGAAGGUCCCCCACAUUGGUACUGAGACACGGACCAAACUCCUACGGGAGGCAGCAGUGAGGAAUAUUGGUCAAUGGCCGAGAGGCUGAACCAGCCAAGUCGCGUGAAGGAAGAAGGAUCUAUGGUUUGUAAACUUCUUUUAUAGGGGAAUAAAGUGGAGGACGUGUCCUUUUUUGUAUGUACCCUAUGAAUAAGCAUCGGCUAACUCCGUGCCAGCAGCCGCGGUAAUACGGAGGAUGCGAGCGUUAUCCGGAUUUAUUGGGUUUAAAGGGUGCGUAGGUGGUGAUUUAAGUCAGCGGUGAAAGUUUGUGGCUCAACCAUAAAAUUGCCGUUGAAACUGGGUUACUUGAGUGUGUUUGAGGUAGGCGGAAUGCGUGGUGUAGCGGUGAAAUGCAUAGAUAUCACGCAGAACUCCGAUUGCGAAGGCAGCU